CUUAACUCCAGCUUUCCUAUCUGGCAAAAGCUUUAUCUUGCUGAGAUAGCAUCUGCUGUGGUGAACGGUCAACAACUGGCUAUCACCCAACUUUAGGCAGAAACCAUUGUAAAAGUACAGAAAACAACCAGAAGUGUGUGAACACCUUCGACUUUCUGGGUAUUUUGCCAGAUAAAUUCUUCCUUUGCAGUCAUCUAGUCUAAUAACCCAGGCAAAUAACCUCUGAGCAGGCUUUGUAAAAUAGGUAUAAUCAGUUCUUCUCUAGCCCAUUGAAUGAUUCUGUACACUUCUCUAGCCCAUUGAAUGAUUCACAACUAAUGAUACAAACACAUCCUUGAUUGCAGUGCAAUCAACAGACAGUACCCAGGACUAUGGGAACCAAUGAAAGUAGGGUUUAUACUCCUGAGGGACGUCAGAGAAGGGCCUUUGACCUGAGAUCUGUGGGAUGGAGGGGAUCCAUGGAAAGCAGGAUUUCUCAACUUAGCACUGUGAAUUUUAGACUAGAUAAUUCUGCAUUGAG
rnacentral:lncRNA from 1 species